rnacentral:rRNA from 2 species
AGUCGAACGCGUUGGCCCAAUUGAUUGAUGGUGCUUGCACCUGAUUGAUUUUGGUCGCCAACGAGUGGCGGACGGGUGAGUAACACGUAGGUAACCUGCCCAGAAGCGGGGGACAACAUUUGGAAACAGAUGCUAAUACCGCAUAACAGCGUUGUUCGCAUGAACAACGCUUAAAAGAUGGCUUCUCGCUAUCACUUCUGGAUGGACCUGCGGUGCAUUAGCUUGUUGGUGGGGUAACGGCCUACCAAGGCGAUGAUGCAUAGCCGAGUUGAGAGACUGAUCGGCCACAAUGGGACUGAGACACGGCCCAUACUCCUACGGGAGGCAGCAGUAGGGAAUCUUCCACAAUGGGCGCAAGCCUGAUGGAGCAACACCGCGUGAGUGAAGAAGGGUUUCGGCUCGUAAAGCUCUGUUGUUAAAGAAGAACACGUAUGAGAGUAACUGUUCAUACGUUGACGGUAUUUAACCAGAAAGUCACGGCUAACUACGUGCCAGCAGCCGCGGUAAUACGUAGGUGGCAAGCGUUAUCCGGAUUUAUUGGGCGUAAAGAGAGUGCAGGCGGUUUUCUAAGUCUGAUGUGAAAGCCUUCGGCUUAACCGGAGAAGUGCAUCGGAAACUGGAUAACUUGAGUGCAGAAGAGGGUAGUGGAACUCCAUGUGUAGCGGUGGAAUGCGUAGAUAUAUGGAAGAACACCAGUGGCGAAGGCGGCUACCUGGUCUGCAACUGACGCUGAGACUCGAAAGCAUGGGUAGCGAACAGGAUUAGAUACCCUGGUAGUCCAUGCCGUAAACGAUGAGUGCUAGGUGUUGGAGGGUUUCCGCCCUUCAGUGCCGGAGCUAACGCAUUAAGCACUCCGCCUGGGGAGUACGACCGCAAGGUUGAAACUCAAAGGAAUUGACGGGGGCCCGCACAAGCGGUGGAGCAUGUGGUUUAAUUCGAAGCUACGCGAAGAACCUUACCAGGUCUUGACAUCUUGCGCCAACCCUAGAGAUAGGGCGUUUCCUUCGGGAACGCAAUGACAGGUGGUGCAUGGUCGUCGUCAGCUCGUGUCGUGAGAUGUUGGGUUAAGUCCCGCAACGAGCGCAACCCUUGUUACUAGUUGCCAGCAUUAAGUUGGGCACUCUAGUGAGACUGCCGGUGACAAACCGGAGGAAGGUGGGGACGACGUCAGAUCAUCAUGCCCCUUAUGACCUGGGCUACACACGUGCUACAAUGGACGGUACAACGAGUCGCGAACUCGCGAGGGCAAGCAAAUCUCUUAAAACCGUUCUCAGUUCGGACUGCAGGCUGCAACUCGCCUGCACGAAGUCGGAAUCGCUAGUAAUCGCGGAUCAGCAUGCCGCGGUGAAUACGUUCCCGGGCCUUGUACACACCGCCCGUCACACCAUGAGAGUUUGUAACACCCAAAGUCGGUGGGGUAACCUUUUAGGAGCCAG